CGAGAAUCUGACCAGUCAUUGGUUAUUUACAAUGCAUCUUUCGAAGCCAUUCCUAGAUAAUCCUGCCCUCGGCUCAUCGAGUCCAAAUGAAACUGUACCCCAAUAACGAGAGAUCACUAAUCUUAGGCUUCCAACGUAUCCCGAAAACCAUUCAUGAGUGAGGAAGAAGGAGCUACGCCCCCUUUAUUCUCUUCCGCAGACAACCUGU
rnacentral:lncRNA from 1 species